GAAAUGCGAUAAGUAGUGUGAAUUGCAGAAUUCAGUGAAUCAUCGAAUCUUUGAACGCACACUGCGCCCUUUGGUAUUCCUUAGGGCAUGCCUGUUCGAGCGUCAUCUAAACCUUCAAGCCCUGCUUGGUGUUGGGUGCCUGUCCCGCCUCCGCGCGCGGACUCACCUCAAAUCCAUUGGCGGCCCCCGCGUCGGCCACGAGCGCAGCAGAAACGCGAACUCGUGAGCCCGUCCGGGCGGCUCCCAGAAGCUACACCCACCCAGUUUGACCUCGGAUCAGGUAGGGAUACCCGCUGAACUUAAGC
rnacentral:misc_RNA from 1 species